GAGCAACAACCUGAUCGGGAUCCUGAACGCGGUGACCUUCCUUCUCUCCAUCCCGAUCCUGGGCGCGGGCAUUUGGCUGGGCCACCGCGCCGACGGCACCGAGUGCGAGCGCUACCUCUCGGCGCCCGUAAUCGCGCUGGGGGUCUUCCUCCUCGUCGUCUCCAUCGCGGGGCUCGUCGGCGCCUGCUGCCGCGUCACCUGGCUGCUCUGGGUCUACCUCCUCGCUAUGUUCGUCCUCAUCGUCGCCCUCUUCUGCUUCACCGUCUUCGCCUUCGUCGUCACCAACCGGGGCGCCGGGGAGGCCGUGUCGGGCCGGGGGUACAAGGAGUACAGGCUUGGGGACUACUCCAACUGGCUGCAGAAGCGGGUGGAGAACCACAAGAACUGGAACAGGAUCAGGAGCUGCCUCCAGGGCUCCAAGGUCUGCAAGAACCUGCAGGACAAGAAGGAGUCGGUCACCGACUUCAUGCGUUCCGACCUCUCCCCGAUCGAGGUACUUGCUUAAUUACGUGAAAAAUGCAUUUUUCUUCCCUUAAUCUUCAGUCUCAGUUUUUUUUUGACAAAUCACCAAGACAGAUU
rnacentral:lncRNA from 1 species